CGUCUAUAUACGUAUAGCAUAUCAAUAAGCGGAGGAAAAGAAACUAACAAGGAUUCCCUUAGUAACGGCGAGUGAAGCGGGAAGAGCUCAAAUUUGAAAUCUUCAAGGUUCUACCUUGACGAAUUGUAGUUUAAAGAAGUGUUUUCUGUUGGAGUUUUGGUAAAAGUUCUUUGGAAAAGGACAUCAUAGAGGGUGAGAAUCCCGUAUUUGGUACAUAUCCUCCUAGCUUUGUGAUACACUUUCAACGAGUCGGAUUGUUUGGGAAUGCAGUCCCAAAAUGGGUAGUAAAUUUCAUCUAAAGCUAAAUAUUGGCGAGAGACCGAUAGCGAACAAGUACCGUGAGGGAAAGAUGAAAAGAACUUUGAAAAGAGAGUUAAACAGUACGUGAAAUUGUCAAAAGGGAAGCGUUUGACACCAGUGUUGUUUUCUCGAAAAUCAAUUAAAAAAGGCCGGAUUUUGUGUUGUAUUGACUUUAUCAGCUUUCUGCACUUUUUUCUUGUCUUUUUUAAUGCACUUUUCGUUUAACAAGUCAACAUCAAUUUCUUUUGUUGUAAAAGGGUCAUUGGAAGGUGGCUUUCUUUUCGGAGAAAGGUGUUUAUAGCCCUAGUGACUUCUACAAUCGGAGAGAUUGAGGUCUGCAGCGUAGAUCCUUCGGGGUUAGAUACACUUGUGCUAAGUUGUAGCUUUUCAUAGACAACUUGUUGACUAUGUUUAGUCAUGCGGCUUACUCGCUUGUGCUAUUUUACCUACGCUUAGGAUGUUGACUGAUAUGUAGUCGUA
rnacentral:rRNA from 1 species